rnacentral:tRNA from 1 species
AAAGGGAGACCUACUCACAGAACGAAAGCAAAAAGCGAAUAGUUUUGAAUGAGACAUCCCCUCAAAGGUCGUACAGAGAAAAUUGAAAGUCAUAAAGAAAUUCUUCAAACUAGAGACUGGGUUCGUAACAGAUAGCGAACCAAAAGGGCUAUUAGCUCAGGUGGUUAGAGCGCACCCCUGAUAAGGGUGAGGUCCCUGGUUCAAGUCCAGGAUGGCCCACUUGUCAGUGAGCAGUGAACAGUUAACAGUGAGCAGUGAAAAACUAACUGAUAACUGAUGGCUGAUAACUGAUGACGGAAAAGGGGGUAUAGCUCAGCUGGUAGAGCGCCUGCUUUGCAAGCAGGAUGUCAGCGGUUCAAAUCCGCUUACCUCCACCACAAAAAAAGAAGUGAAUCAUCAGCAUCGGCACAAGAAUUGUGAGAAUGCUGGGGAUUAAACUCCAGUAAGAACCUUGAAAACUGCAUAAAGAAAGAGAAAAGUCAAAAAGAUUAACUAAAACCAGAACCAGGUUAAGGUGUGUUUUUAUUGAAAGACCGAAGGGUUAGAAGAUAAAAGCAGACCAAAAAAGUAGUCCGAAAAUAGCAGGUCAAGCCUAGAAAGGGCUAACGGUGGAUACCUA